GGACCCUUAGCUCAGUGGUAGAGCUUUGUACUUAUGUGGCUAAAUGUCUUUGGCUUGAGCAUUUCCAAUGCAAAGGUCCCGAGUUCGACCCUCGGAGGGUCCA